rnacentral:lncRNA from 1 species
UUGUGUAUAGCAAAGUGUUGUUUAAUUUGCUUUUUGAAGUUAUAUGAGUUUAUUUCAUUAAAUUUUGUUUCUAACGAAUUCCAUACAUCAACUCCUUUAAUAUAUGAGAGACUGUGUUUCACAUAAUUAAUAUAAUUUGUCCUUUUAUAACAUUCGUGAAGUUUUGAAGCAUUUCUCGUGUUAUGAAUAUGUUCAUGAAUUUUGUUGUUUGUCAUAAAAUAAUUUUUAAAUAAAUCUGGUAAAUUAUUAAGCUGGUGGUACUGAAACAUAAAUAAGGCAGUUAAAUAGUCAAUGAUUUAUAAAGAGCAAUGCCUCUGGUAUUCCGUAAACUAC